AUUGAACGCUGGCGGCAUGCCUUACACAUGCAAGUCGAACGGCAGCACGGGAGCAAUCCUGGUGGCGAGUGGCGAACGGGUGAGUAAUAUAUCGGAACGUGCCCAGUCGUGGGGGAUAACGCAGCGAAAGCUGUGCUAAUACCGCAUACGAUCUAUGGAUGAAAGCGGGGGAUCGCAAGACCUCGCGCGAGUGGAGCGGACGAUAUCAGAUUAGCUAGUUGGUGGGGUAAAGGCCCACCAAGGCGACGAUCUGUAGCUGGUCUGAGAGGACGACCAGCCACACUGGAACUGAGACACGGUCCAGACUCCUACGGGAGGCAGCAGUGGGGAAUUUUGGACAAUGGGCGCAAGCCUGAUCCAGCAAUGCCGCGUGCAGGAUGAAGGCCUUCGGGUUGUAAACUGCUUUUGUACGGAACGAAACGGUCUGCCCUAAUACGGUGGGCUAAUGACGGUACCGUAAGAAUAAGCACCGGCUAACUACGUGCCAGCAGCCGCCGUAA
rnacentral:rRNA from 1 species